rnacentral:rRNA from 1 species
CUUGGUCAUUUAGAGGAAGUAAAAGUCGUAACAAGGUUUCCGUAGGUGAACCUGCGGAAGGAUCACUAGUGAUUUAAAUACUUGUAAAGUCUCGCAAGAGCUUUCAAGUCCCUUCACAUCCACAUACACCCUGUGCUCUUGACUGUUUGGAACUUUAUUGAUCUGAACAGUUCAACCCCCCCUUUUAUAAACUCAGUAUAAUGAAUGUAAACAAGUUUUAAUAAACAUAAUAAAACUUUCAACAACGGAUCUCUUGGCUCUCGCAUCGAUGAAGAACGCAGCGAAAUGCGAUAAGUAAUGUGAAUUGCAGAAUUCAGUGAAUCAUCGAAUCUUUGAACGCACCUUGCGCUCCCUGGUAUUCCGGGGAGCAUGCCUGUUUGAGUGUCAUAAAACUCUCAACUCCUAAUGGUUUUUCGAAACUGUUAGUUGAUGUUGGAUGUGAACGUUUUGCUGGCUUUAAUUAGUCGGCUCGUUCGAAAUGUAUUAGCUGGAUCCCUCUUUAACUUGGUUCCACUCGGCGUGAUAAGUAUCUUCGUCGAGGACAGUUGACUUCGGUUGACUGGCCAGGAUAGUUUGGUUGAACUGCUUCUAACCCCAUUGUUCAACUUAUUGUUCAAUACUUUUUAUGCUCUGGCCUCAAAUCAGGUAGGAUUACCCGCUGAACUUAAGCAUAUCAAUAAGCGGAGGAAAAGAAACUAACAAGGAUUCCCCUAGUAACGGCGAGUGAAGCGGGAUGAGCUCAAAUUUAAAAUCUGGCGGCCUCAGGUCGUCCGAGUUGUAGUCUAGAGAAGCGUUUUCCGCGUUGGCCUGUGUACAAGUCCCUUGGAAUAGGGCGUCAUAGAGGGUGAGAAUCCCGUCCUUGACACAGAUCCCAAUGCUUUGUGAUACGCUCUCAAAGAGUCGAGUUGUUUGGGAAUGCAGCUCAAAAUGGGUGGUAAAUUCCAUCUAAAGCUAAAUAUUGGCGAGAGACCGAUAGCGAACAAGUACCGUGAGGGAAAGAUGAAAAGCACUUUGGAAAGAGAGUUAAACAGUACGUGAAAUUGUUGAAAGGGAAACGCUUGAAGU